AGGGAGUUCCUAAAAAGCUGGAAAUAUUUAACUGACAACCGUCUUCCCCCUCAAAUCUGUGCUGCUUUUGACGUGCCUGUUGUGGAACGUGCCCAGACUGGAGAGUCACUCAGUGCCUCAGUUUCAGCUUCUGCAAAUGUUAUUACUCAUGCAGCCAGACGCAUGUUUCAGAAGAAGCCUUUGACUCAUUAUGGGCAUGAAUGAGGAGAUUCAUUCUGGGAGAAUUUUGCAAAGAGAUAUGAACACACCCUGACAGAGGAAGGGAAGUGAGAAAUGUGAUCUUUAUGCACCAAAACACUCUGAAAAAAUUACUCCUAUUCUGAAGAAGAUAAAUCAAAACGGAUUAUUUUCAUCACUCUAGCCAGAACAUAAAGUAGAUGGCACUUUCUCUCUUUCGUAAUCUUAGAUGUAAUACAUUGAAAUCUAAAGAAAUAAUUUAUUCUCAUAAGAAUGCUGAAGUAAUCUCAAAAACAAAAAAAGCCUGGGGUCUUAACAUCCUUAUGCUGAUUCAGCACAUGUGCAGAGGUGGGUGUGCUGGUGGCUUGGUCUUCCCAGUCAACCAUCCGAGUUUCCAGGAUUGGAUAGAGCAGAGGGUCUCCAUCCUGGUCUAUCUGGGGUCCAUCACGAGGUUUCAAGCCUGUCUGGACAUGUCUGUGAACUGGUGAUACAGGCCUGAGUGACGUCAGUGUGCCUGGAGAGGCUGUAGUCAUCCGUGCUCUUGGGGGGUUUGGUAUAUCUGGGCACGUCUAGCAAGCCGUGGGCGGCUGCUGGAGGCUGAGGAGACUCCUGGGUGAGACUUCACCCUGAGGGUGGAAGGAAUCUGGUGAUCAGCUUGAGCCUGGAAGAAGCAUCAUCAGUAAGUCUGCUCGCAUUGGAGCAGUUUCCUGAUCCUGUUCCCCGGUCUGGCCCCCUGGAGGCAUGUGUUCCAUGGGUACAUAGAGGGCUGUCAGUAAAAACAGAAAGAGCUUUCUCACUAAGCUUUAUAAAAAAUACUCAGACCCCAGCAACACUGUUUUACUUUCCCUGUGAACAGGUGAGUCAUUCCCUGACACUUCAGCCCAGAGGAGGGU